CAACAGACAGUGACAGAGCAGACAGUCAGCAAAUUGGACAGUCAGCAAGAACAGCUAGCACACGGGAAUGUUAUCAUUAUUUUAAUGUUUUUUUUUGUUUUUUUUUUUGA
rnacentral:ribozyme from 1 species